rnacentral:lncRNA from 1 species
AAUUAAAGGACACAAAACAUAGACGAUCAAACACCUCCCUCUCUCUAAAAUUCUUCUCUGCUUAAAUUUUACCCAGCUCUAGAUCUCAAAUCAAGAUGAGAAUCUCAAUUAUCAGGUUUGUGGUCAAAUCCCUAAUUUCCCCCUUUGUCUAUUAGGAAAAAACGGAAAUGCAUAAUUGAGUUUUGUAAAGGCUUCAUAAACAAAAUUGAGUUUUGCGGAGGAAGAAUCGCACAUCUGAUUUCUCUUCCUAAUUUCAUAUAGUUGCUGGUGUCCUAAUGCUUUCCCUAAUCUCGGCUACUUUUCUGAGUUUUGUGCAUAUGUUUGACUGAACACCAAUAUUAAUUUAUAUAUAAAUUUAUGUUUGGGGUUUUUAAUAAUGAUCUUGUAUUUUGUAAGGUAAAAGUUUCAACAUGCAGUUAAGGAUUAUUAUUAUUAUUAUUUUAGUGAUUUUACAUUU